CAUUUCCUGUGUUCAUUUUGAAAGACAGAAUGUCAGUAACAAUGAUACUCCUGCAGAAAAAGAAGACAUUUUCAGCUUCUCCCUCUCUUUCUCUCUCUCUCCAAUUAGAUCAACAAAUGUACAAAGUGAACAAAGAACAAUUUACCUACCCAAGAAAAUAAAGAGCUCAUUUGGGACACUGUGCAUGGAGGCAAACGAGACAGGUUCUCACAGGUUACAGCCCAAGGAAAAGAAGGGUUAGGAGUAUGGGCUUUGGAGUCAGAUGGAACCAGAUUCAAAUCCCAGAAACCUUCAGCACUCACAAGUGUCUGGAAAAGGAGGAUGGUUUCUCAUAUAUUCUGCAUUACCACUAUCACCUUUGGAUGUUCCAGUUCUCAAUAAAAUUUUAUCAUCACAGCAUUUUCAAAAUAUUAUUUCAUUACCUUUGCAGUCAACUUUUC